rnacentral:lncRNA from 1 species
CUCAAACGGCUCUGUGAUUCUGUGUCGAGUGUCAGUCAGUCCUAGCGUGGACCGAGAUGGGACUGUGUCAUACAGCACAAGAGAUGAAGUUGACCAAGAAAAUAAAGAAAACCUUGCAAAAACGUCUGUCUCGUUGCCACUGUUGAUGUCAGAUGCUGUGAUAUGAGCCCGGGGAGUCAGAGCAGUAGUUCACCUGGCCCUCGCUCUUGUAAAGUCGUGAACAUCUUGGUCGGAGAAGAAACAGAUCGGUUUCAGCUUGAGGAGCCCCAGCCUGCAGUGUCUGCUUCUCUUUCAAAUUCUGUGGGUUCUAGCAAAAGAGCAAAGGCGAAGAAGCAGCCCAAGCUGUUACACCUUUAAACCUGUAUCGUGUUUCCAGUGUUAGAGCUCAGACUAUGGUUUGUUUGGAUCCUAAAGCUAAACUGAAGGCUGAAAAUUGCAAAAAUUAGAAGAAUGCUAGAUGUAUUGAUAGAUGGCUAGCUCAUCCCAUGAAAGAUGUCUGCACCUUAAAGCCAGGUUCUGAAAGAGUGCACUGUUCCUCUGGUUAUAUAUACAGUGUGGUGCUGAAGUCAAAAGAUGUUCAGAAAAUCCAGGAAAAGUGCCUUGAUGUGUAUUGAAGUUGUCACAUGACUCAGUGGGUCCUAAUGGAAAAUCUGUUAAACUUACCCAAGCAGAUACAAGUAACUUAGCAAGGCUUCCUCCAUGGAGGUGUUUUCUGUCAGCAAGUGCCCAGGGAAUGGCACAAGAAUUCCUCCAGGGGAAACUUUUAUGUCUUCUGGUGCAAGAAGUAUUCAUCACCACUUGAAAAUGAGCAGGUGAGAUACCCAUGAAAUGUGUUCUUAUUACUCCAUUAAUUCAAGUGGCAGCACUUGUGGAAGCGUGCUAGUGAGAGGCCUUGCAGAUGUCCACUCUGAUCAUGAGUAACCUGCAGGUAUAUUUAAUUUAUUUUGCUCUGCUGGAAGCAUAGUGAAGACAUACUUUCUAUGUUGUCUCUAGGAAAAAGGCUCAUAAAGGUGCUGCAGUGGCAACAGAGCAAAAUGAACUUUGCAUCGGCUCUAUUCUCCCCUGCUCCCAGAUCUGAGGCUGGAAAUGUGACUUCUUCCUUUGCUUCAGAGGCCAGGCCAUGUUUUCAUGGUAGGAACGAUUUAACAGAUUCACCAGGCAAGAUGUCCUUGGUGACUCCAGGUCUGGGAAGUGUUCCUGCUCUUUGGGUUGUUAAGCAGCUUGCUGAAAUGUUCGAAUCCUGAAUGCUUGUUCCUGUUAGAAAGAGAAAUUAUUAAUGGAGUCAGGAGCCUGGGUGCAAUUUUUGCUUAUUUACAGGAAUAUAGACAGUCAGCUUCCUUGAGCAAGGGAAGACUUGAACAACCAGAAAGCCUCUUCCUCCCAGCAGGUAUUAUCCUUCCUCCUGCUCUUCUCAGACUGUUUCCAGCAGAUGUACCAAAGGAAU